CAAUAGCGUAUAUUAAAGUUGUUGCAGUUAAAAAGCUCGUAGUUGGAUUUGUGGUUCGUCCCGCCGGCUGGGUCAUUGACUUUUGCUGUGCUGGUCGUCCAUCCUUGGGUGGAAUCUGUGUGGCAUUAGGUUGUCGCGCAGGGGAUGCCCAUCGUUUACUGUGAAAAAAUUAGAGUGUUCAAAGCAGGCUUAUGCCGUUGAAUAUAUUAGCAUGGAAUAAUGAUAUAGGACCUUGGUACUAUUUUGUUGGUUUGCGCACUGAGGUAAUGAUUAAUAGGGACAGUUGGGGGUAUUCGUAUUCCAUUGUAAGAGGUGAAAUUCUUGGAUUUCUGGAAGACGAACUACUGCGAAAGCAUUUACCAAGGAUGUUUUCAUUAA
rnacentral:rRNA from 1 species